GACGAACGCUGGCGGCGUGCCUAAUACAUGCAAGUCGAGCGAAGUUUUUCUGGUGCUUGCCCUAGAAAAACUUAGCGGCGAACGGGUGAGUAACACGUAAAGAACCUGCCUCAUAGACUGGGACAACUAUUGGAAACGAUAGCUAAUACCGGAUAACAGUAUUUCUCGCAUGAGAGAUAUUUAAAAGUUGGUUAUGCUAACACUAUGAGAUGGCUUUGCGGUGCAUUAGCUAGUUGGUGGGGUAAAGGCCCACCAAGGCGACGAUGCAUAGCCGACCUGAGAGGGUGAUCGGCCACACUGGGACUGAGACACGGCCCAGACUCCUACGGGAGGCAGCAGUAGGGAAUCUUCCGCAAUGGGCGAAAGCCUGACGGAGCAACGCCGUGUGAGUGAAGAAGGAUUUCGGUUCGUAAAGCUCUGUUGUUAGGGAAGAAUGGAUAUGUAGUAACUAUACAUGUAAGAGACGGUACCUAACCAGAAAGCCACGGCUAACUACGUG
rnacentral:rRNA from 1 species